CAACGCCGCGUGGGCGAUGAAGGCCUUCGGGAGUAAACUGACUCCUACGGGAGGCAAAAGAGUCCUACGGGAGGCUGACGGUAUCUUGGGACAGAAGCCCCGGCUAACUACGUGCCAGCAGCCGCGGUAAUAAU
rnacentral:rRNA from 1 species